CUUCGCAAGGGCCUUCGCCUGGGCUGGCUCCCGGGCAAAGGGCUCGGGAGCCGCUGCGGAGAGGUCUUCGAGUCUGAGCAAGGCCUGAAGAAAUUAGCUUCUUCUGAUAAAAAAAACAUAGAUUCUUCUUCUUUGGAAGAUUUA